GACGAACGCUGGCGGCGUGCCUAAUACAUGCAAGUCGAGCGGACGGAUGGGAGCUUGCUCCCAGACCGUCAGCGGCGGACGGGUGAGUAACACGUGGGCAACCUGCCUGUAAGACUGGGAUAACUCCGGGAAACCGGGGCUAAUACCGGAUAACUCUUUCCCUCACAUGAGGGAAAGCUGAAAGAUGGCAUCUCGCUAUCACUUACAGAUGGGCCCGCGGCGCAUUAGCUAGUUGGUGAGGUAACGGCUCACCAAGGCGACGAUGCGUAGCCGACCUGAGAGGGUGAUCGGCCACACUGGGACUGAGACACGGCCCAGACUCCUACGGGAGGCAGCAGUAGGGAAUCUUCCGCAAUGGACGAAAGUCUGACGGAGCAACGCCGCGUGGGUGAUGAAGGUUUUCGGAUCGUAAAACUCUGUUGUCAGGGAAGAACAAGUACCGGAGUAACUGCCGGUACCUUGACGGUACCUGACCAGAAAGCCACGGCUAACUACGUG
rnacentral:rRNA from 1 species